rnacentral:lncRNA from 1 species
AAAAAAAAAACAAGCGCAAAGGUGACUCUUAUAAUUGGGAAAGUUUGGAACCAAGACAGGGUUCUUGUCCUGGAGGAAGUAUUUUCCUGUGGAGAAGGACCUGUAAACAGCCUAUGAAGUGCUCAGCUUUCACCAAGAAAAACAUGGGCUGAUAGGGUUAAGGAAAAGUUUGACUGAAGAGGAUUAAAUCCUGAAGGUUAGGGAUGUCUUUGGGCGCUGGGGUCUCUCAAUCACCAAAGAUAGACAUUACAGGCCAGGUAGCUCUUUGUCCCCCCAGAGGACUGUCCUGUGCCUUAUGCUUAGCACUCCUGGCCUCUGCCCAUUGGAUACUUCUAGCACCUCCCCCCCAACACACACACACCUGACAACCCAAAACAUCUACAGAUAUUGCCAAAUACUCCACAGGGGGUGGGGUGGUGGCAAUAUAUCUCCCUGUUUGAAGUCACUGGAAUGGAAGUUAGGGGAGGAUGGCUAAGUCAGGACUUGCAAAAAGGCUAAGGGACGAAAGCACAUGGCUAUAUUAGACAAAGUUUGUGACAGACGCCUGUAGGUAUAUGGUAAGGAAAACAGAUUAAAACACUAAGAAAUAGUAAGAGGUUGGACCGAGGGUUUCUCAUCUGUAUGGGAAAUCUCAUCUCGUUCAUUACUUUCAGAAACAAAAAGGAAAACGACUUUAAAGAUACAGGUUAAAGGCUGAAGGGGUGUAGAACCACCCCCCGCCUCCUUCCCUCCAUCCCUCCCAAAUAUCCCAGAACGAGUCAAACCUUUCUAAUCUCGUAGCACAGAUAACAAGCAACUCAGUAAGACUAGACGGGGAUGACUGAGGGCCAACUCAUUACAGGACUACAGGAAACUCCUUAGUCCUAAACCCGAAUGCAUCCGU